GGUGACCGUUCGUUCCCUUUGCCGGGUGACCAGUGCAACGGGUGGGUCCUGACUGUCUCUCCCAAUCCCCGUUUCAAUCCUGUGGCCACUGCCUAUGAAGGCUCGGUUGGUUUUUACCUCUGAAAGUUCCUAAGGGCCAACCAGUUAUUUCAGCGGGAUUGUUAGUGCUGAGUCACGAGAAGCAGGCGAACCGGAGCUUGGAUGCAGCCGAUCCGGGCUCGGUGUGUGUGUUCUGAGGGGCCCAGACUGUACACCCCAGAUCCACGUCAGCUCAGCAUUGCCUAGUGAUCCUGGGCAAACAGCAUUUAUACAGUUUACAGCUCCCUAUGCCCGCGCAGUUGAAGAGGUCAGAGACUUGAUCUCUCCCCGCCCGCUGCCAUGUUAGAUCUCCUCAAUGAUAUUCAUGUUGCCCUUACAGCUUCCUGGCAUAAGCAAGUUCUUGGGAUUAUACAAACUGCUGCUUCUGUUUCCAGUCCAGAUUUCUAGAAAUUAAACCCUGCCGCCGUCGCCUCUUCCCCGGGGCCACGCUCAGGGGUGCCGCGCUCGUCCGCGACCGUAGCUGCGCCAAAGAACCGGUGCCCAGCCCCCAGGGCCCAAGCGGCUGCCACCGCGGCUCUCCGGCUCCCUCCUCUGAAGCACGGGUCCCCUCGCAGGGGCAUGCAGAACGACCCCAGAGCAGGCUCUGCCCGAGGGUGCAGCGGCGAACAGGCGACCCAGGCGCUCAAGGCUGCGGUCCAGCCUUUGGAGGACAGGGCUCGGCACGCAGCCCAGCUCCAACCUCUAGGUGUGGCUGCCGGACAAUGUAGCCAUAGCCAUCAAGACAGCCGGCAGAAAGCAAAUG
rnacentral:lncRNA from 1 species